rnacentral:lncRNA from 1 species
AUUCUCUCUCAACCCUUCACAGAAUUUUACAGAUCCCCUCCUAGGGCAGUUAUUAGCUUUGUGGCCCAUUUCUUGGCAUUUAUAGCAUCUUAUUGUGCUCCAAACUUGGUCUGAGAUCCCUGAUUUUUUUUCAUUCAGAUCUGUAUUUUUCCCUUCAGGCGUUGGCAGAAUUCCUUUGUCCUUGGAAUACAUAGGUUUACUAGUUGAAGCUCCAGGUGCAAAUGAUGAGUAUUUGUUUGUUUGUCUCUCUAGUUGUUCGGAGAUGCUUACAGUCUUCAUAAGUGACAUUGGGGACUGUAAAAU